rnacentral:hammerhead_ribozyme from 1 species
AUUCAACUGAAGAGUCCUAAAUAGGACGAAACGCACGUCCUAGAU